CCCAACUGUUGGUCUGACUGGGAUCAAUCACCAUGAUAUGGAGAAGAAUCGAUCCUAAGACCCUGUGAACUAAGGGCAGAAACUUCAAGUUGCAAAGGACACAAAUCUCGGAAACAAAGUGAAGUAGACUGGGAGGAGGAACAGACUGCAGGAGAAUACAGACUGGUGAACUGGACAGAUGUAUGGCAGAUGAAAAGUGAAGUGAUACAUUUUGGUGCUGCUGGCUGCCUGGCUUGGGGUCCUCCUCACGCACUCUCCAAUAGCUCUCCUCUGGGUUACAGAUGUGAAGCCGACAGCCAUCAAGAGUAUUGGAAGGAUUUACAGGUUGAUAAUCAACUCCUUUAGCCAUGUUAUGCACACAGCUUCCAUGCUCAAGUGGGACUUGAAGUCAGAGCUUCUGGCCCAGAAGAAGUGAUGCUACCACUGCACACAAGAGCUCCCUAUCACCACUAUUGCUUUCAAAUAAAAUCUGGUAUUGCUUCUACAUAAAACCAUUAUUUUUGUUCUUGUUUUAUUCAGAUAUUGGCUCAUGACACACUUUUAAAAUUUAUAUUCAAACACAUGUUGUUUAUUUCUAGGUGUUCGUAUACAGAAGAUUGGAUUUUGAAAAAACACAUACUAUAUAUAACAGUAUUCAAAACUGUCUUAAUGCAA